GACGAACGCUGGCGGCGUGCUUAACACAUGCAAGUCGAACGAAGAGCGACGGAAGCUUGCUUCUAUCAAUCUUAGUGGCGAACGGGUGAGUAACGCGUAAUCAACCUGCCCUUCAAAGGGGGACAACAGUUGGAAACGACUGCUAAUACCGCAUACGAUCUAAUCUCGGCAUCGAGGAUAGAUGAAAGGUGGCCUCUACAUGUAAGCUAUCACUGAAGGAGGGGAUUGCGUCUGAUUAGCUAGUUGGAGGGGUAACGGCCCACCAAGGCGAUGAUCAGUAGCCGGUCUGAGAGGAUGAACGGCCACAUUGGGACUGAGACACGGCCCAGACUCCUACGGGAGGCAGCAGUGGGGAAUCUUCCGCAAUGGACGAAAGUCUGACGGAGCAACGCCGCGUGAGUGAUGACGGCCUCCGGGUUGUAAAGCUCUGUUAAUCGGGACGAAAGGCCUUCUUGCGAAUAGG
rnacentral:rRNA from 1 species